rnacentral:sRNA from 1 species
UCGCUGAAAAUAAUACUUGGACAGCCUC